GAGGGUAUAGCUCAAAUGGUAGAGCGCAUGCUUAGCAUGCAUGAGGUCCUGGGUUCAAUCCUCAGUACCUCCU
rnacentral:tRNA from 1 species